rnacentral:rRNA from 1 species
CUCGGAUCAGGUAGGAAUACCCGCUGAACUUAAGCAUAUCAAUUAGCGGAGGAAAA